CCUACGGGUGGCAGCAGUGAGGAAUAUUGGUCAAUGGCCGCAGGGCUGAACCAGCCAAGUCGCGUGAAGGAUGACGGUCCUAUGGAUUGUAAACUUCUUUUGUCAGGGAGCAAAGGCCGACACGCGUGUCGUUUUGCGAGUACCCGAAGAAAAAGCAUCGGCUAACUCCGUGCCAGCAGCCGCGGUAAUACGGAGGAUGCGAGCGUUAUCCGGAUUUAUUGGGUUUAAAGGGUGCGCAGGCGGAAUAUCAAGUCAGCGGUAAAAUGUCGGGGCUCAACCCCGUCGUGCCGUUGAAACUGGUGUUCUAGAGUGAGAGAGAAGUAUGCGGAAUGCGUGGUGUAGCGGUGAAAUGCAUAGAUAUCACGCAGAACUCCGAUUGCGAAGGCAGCAUACCGGCGCUCUACUGACGCUGAGGCACGAAAGCGUGGGGAUCGAACAGGAUUAGAUACCCUAGUAGUC
rnacentral:rRNA from 1 species